GAUGAACGCUAGCGGCGUGCAUAACACAUUCAAGUCGAACGGACAAGGGGACUUCGGUCCCUGCGUUAGUGGCGGACGGGUGAGUAACGCGUGAGCAGCCUGCCCCUGUGUGUGGAAUAACGUUUGGAAACGAACGCCAAUACCGCAUAAAGCAUGGGAAUCGCAUGUUUUCUAUGCCAAAGAUUUAUUGCACAGGGAUGGGCUCGCGUCCGAUUAGAUAGUUGGUGAGGUAACGGCUCACCAAGUCGACGAUCGGUAGCCGGACUGAGAGGUUGAACGGCCACAUUGGAACUGAGAAACGGUCCAGACUCCUACGGGAGGCAGCAGUGGGGAAUAUUGGGCAAUGGGCGAAAGCCUGACCCAGCGACGCCGCGUGAAGGAAGACGGUCUUCGGAUUGUAAACUUCUUUUAUAAGGGACGAAGCAUGACGGUACCUUAUGAAUAAGCCACGGCUAACUACGUGCCAGCAGCCGCCGUAAAAC
rnacentral:rRNA from 1 species